rnacentral:rRNA from 1 species
AUACGUAGGGAGCGAGCGUUGCCCGGAAUUACUGGGCGUAAAGGGCGCGUAGGCGGCGCUUCAAGUCGUCUGUCAAAUGGAAGGGCUUAACCCUUUUUCGCAGACGAAACUGGAGAGCUUGAGAAGCAGAGAGGCAAACAGAAUUCCUGGUGUAGCGGUGAAAUGCGUAGAUAUCAGGAAGAAUACCAGUGGCGAAGGCGGUUUGCUGGCUGCAUACUGACGCUGAAGCGCGAAAGCCAGGGGAGCGAACGGGAUUAGAUACCCCGGUAGUCCUGGCAGUAAACGAUGUAUGCUGGGUGUGAGACUAGCGAUAGUUUCGUGCCGAAGUUAACGCGAUAAGCAUACCGCCUGGGGAGUACGGUCGCAAGAUUGAAACUCAAAUGAAUUGACGG